GUCAUUAUCACCUUGACACUAGGAAUCGGAAUUCCUAUAUAGCAGGAAGAGAGAUUAGAUUUAAAAAUAAAAGUUAAAUAACAUUUUAUAUUUUCGGCUUUCACAGAAGAUUCCCAAAACACUUUUCAAGGAUUCCUCAUGCCUUAAUCUCAGAGCCAGCUUUUCUUGAUACAUCCAUGUUGGACUGGCUUCAUGAAGAGUGACCUGUGCUUCUGUUUUCUCCGAGUUUGUUAACCAAGAUAACCUUUAUUUGGGGAAACAGGUAAACACUAACACAUUCCUCCCCUCCUCCUGCCCCCCUGGUUUAA
rnacentral:lncRNA from 1 species